rnacentral:rRNA from 1 species
UGGGGAAUAUUGCACAAUGGGCGCAAGCCUGAUGCAGCCAUGCCGCGUGUAUGAAGAAGGCCUUCGGGUUGUAAAGUACUUUCAGCGAGGAGGAAGGCGUUGUGGUUAAUAACCGCAACGAUUGACGUUACUCGCAGAAGAAGCACCGGCUAACUCCGUGCCAGCAGCCGCGGUAAUACGGAGGGUGCAAGCGUUAAUCGGAAUUACUAGGCGUAAAGCGCACGCAGGCGGUGUGUCAAGUCGGAUGUGAAAUCCCCGGGCUCAACCUGGGAACUGCAUCCGAAACUGGCAGGCUAGAGUCUUGUAGAGGGGGGUAGAAUUCCAGGUGUAGCGGUGAAAUGCGUAGAGAUCUGGAGGAAUACCGGUGGCGAAGGCGGCCCCCUGGACAAAGACUGACGCUCAGGUGCGAAAGCGUGGGGAGCAAACA